rnacentral:rRNA from 1 species
CGAUUUCCGAAUGGGGAAACCCAGUGUGAUUCGUCACACUAUCAUUAACUGAAUCCAUAGGUUAAUGAGGCGAACCGGGGGAACUGAAACAUCUAAGUACCCCGAGGAAAAGAAAUCAACCGAGAUUCCCCCAGUAGCGGCGAGCGAACGGGGAGGAGCCCAGAGCCUGAAUCAGUGUGUGUGUUAGUGGAAGCGUCUGGAAAGGCGCGCGAUACAGGGUGACAGCCCCGUACACAAAAAUGCACAUGCUGUGAGCUCGAUGAGUAGGGCGGGACACGUGGUAUCCUGUCUGAAUAUGGGGGGACCAUCCUCCAAGGCUAAAUACUCCUGACUGACCGAUAGUGAACCAGUACCGUGAGGGAAAGGCGAAAAGAACCCCGGCGAGGGGAGUGAAAAAGAACCUGAAACCGUGUACGUACAAGCAGUGGGAGCACAGAGCAAUCUGUGUGACUGCGUACCUUUUGUAUAAUGGGUCAGCGACUUAUAUUCUGUAGCAAGGUUAACCGAAUAGGGGAGCCGAAGGGAAACCGAGUCUUAACUGGGCGUUAAGUUGCAGGGUAUAGACCCGAAACCCGGUGAUCUAGCCAUGGGCAGGUUGAAGGUUGGGUAACACUAACUGGAGGACCGAACCGACUAAUGUUGAAAAAUUAGCGGAUGACUUGUGGCUGGGGGUGAAAGGCCAAUCAAACCGGGAGAUAGCUGGUUCUCCCCGAAAGCUAUUUAGGUAGCGCCUCGUGAAUUCAUCUCCGGGGGUAGAGCACUGUUUCGGCAAGGGGGUCAUCCCGACUUACCAACCCGAUGCAAACUGCGAAUACCGGAGAAUGUUAUCACGGGAGACACACGGCGGGUGCUAACGUCCGUCG